rnacentral:lncRNA from 1 species
AGAUCCAUUUAUACCCAAUGGGUAUAAUAUCCUCAGGUGGAUCCACUAAGGUCUAUACUUAGUUCGAGUGUAAUUUCUGACUUCAUUGCAUCUAAUCAUUUCUCAAAAUCAAUGUCAGACAUCAUCUCAUCAAAGGUAUUAAGAUCAUCAUUAUGACUCUUAUCUCCUGUAAGGAAUAUUUUUUUACUUCCUUCGUAAACAUACCGAUGUACCUUUUAGG